CAUACAUUCGACUUUAUACAAUCUGUUUCCAAAAUUUGAAUUCUGUACAUUCAGAUUAAUCCCAUAGUGUAGACAUACCCAUAGACAUGGGGAAGAAGUCAGAAGUAGGUUGAGGGUAGAUGGUGUAGGCUCAAGACCACAGGAGCUGAUUAGGUCAUUGAAGGGGCACAGUGAUGGAUAAGAUGAUCAGUGACAUGGGAACACAAGAGAAGGGAGAGCAGAGAACAUACCAAAAGGACCAGUCAGAAAGGAGGGGAGUUAGGAAAGAACAGUCAAGGAAACCAAAAGAAGGCAGCCUCAAGUCCCUUGAGUCUGCAAGGGAGAAGCAGUUUGUGGAUUUUGUGGGGACAGUUUCAGUACAGAUCAUAACAGAUUACAGAAUGUGACAGUCUCAGCCCAUCUACAAGAUGUAAGAGAAUUUAUAAAUUGUCACAAUGCUAAAGACGGGACCGUACAUCCACACCUACACCAA